rnacentral:misc_RNA from 1 species
GUAUAGUGUUUUAUAGGCGAUCAAGCCCAUUGACUACAUUCUGUAUCAUACGUUUGGGGUGUGUAAAAAGACGUAGAGCCUGGAAAUUCGAGGAGAGCCCGAGAGCAAUCCUCGCAUCCGCACCGGAGUACGAGAGUCAUCCAGACCUACAGUCGGUGCACAGGUGGAAAGAUAAAAAUGGCGGGCGUGCACAUUGCUCCGAGGAGCCAGCUACAACCAAGACACCAUAGUUAUUCGUUAAUGAUCCUUCCGCAGGUUCACCUACGGAAA